rnacentral:rRNA from 1 species
GUCUCCCUACGGGACGCAGCAGUCGAGAAUCAUUCACAAUGGGGGAAACCCUGAUGGUGCGACGCCGCGUGGGGGAAUGAAGGUCUUCGGAUUGUAAACCCCUGUCAUGUGGGAGCAAAUUAAAAAGAUAGUACCACAAGAGGAAGAGACGGCUAACUCUGUGCCAGCAGCCGCGGUAAUACAGAGGUCUCAAGCGUUGUUCGGAAUCACUGGGCGUAAAGCGUGCGUAGGCUGUUUCGUAAGUCGGGUGUGAAAGGCGCGGGCUCAAUCCGCGGACGGCACAUGAUACUGCGAGACUAGAGUAG